rnacentral:rRNA from 1 species
GACGAACGCGGCGGCGUGCCUAAUACAUGCAAGUAGAACGCUGAAGGAGGAGCUUGCUUCUCUGGAUGAGUUGCGAACGGGUGAGUAACGCGUAGGUAACCUGCCUGGUAGCGGGGGAUAACUAUUGGAAACGAUAGCUAAUACCGCAUAAGAGUAGAUGUUGCAUGACAUUUACUUAAAAGGUGCAAUUGCAUCACUACCAGAUGGACCUGCGUUGUAUUAGCUAGUUGGUGGGGUAACGGCUCACCAAGGCGACGAUACAUAGCCGACCUGAGAGGGUGAUCGGCCACACUGGGACUGAGACACGGCCCAGACUCCUACGGGAGGCAGCAGUAGGGAAUCUUCGGCAAUGGACGGAAGUCUGACCGAGCAACGCCGCGUGAGUGAAGAAGGUUUUCGGAUCGUAAAGCUCUGUUGUAAGAGAAGAACGAGUGUGAGAGUGGAAAGUUCACACUGUGACGGUAUCUUACCAGAAAGGGACGGCUAACUACGUGCCAGCAGCCGCGGUAAUACGUAGGUCCCGAGCGUUGUCCGGAUUUAUUGGGCGUAAAGCGAGCGCAGGCGGUUAGAUAAGUCUGAAGUUAAAGGCUGUGGCUUAACCAUAGUACGCUUUGGAAACUGUUUAACUUGAGUGCAAGAGGGGAGAGUGGAAUUCCAUGUGUAGCGGUGAAAUGCGUAGAUAUAUGGAGGAACACCGGUGGCGAAAGCGGCUCUCUGGCUUGUAACUGACGCUGAGGCUCGAAAGCGUGGGGAGCAAACAGG